CAACUCAUCACCUUCCUCCCCACUAUUCACAAACUCAUAAAAAAGCGUUAUCCGAUUAUCGUACUAUAAAAAGAAAGCCGCGGAGCGGCAGGGAUUCAAAGCCACACACGGCCAGUCCCGAAAUACAAACAAGGCCAUUCAAGGCCGAAACAUAAAAACAAAAAAAAAAUCUCGCAAGAGAUCUAACCUAAGUCACCCU
rnacentral:lncRNA from 1 species